UACAGAGGGGGCAAGCGUUGUUCGGAAUUACUGGGCGUAAAGGGCGCGUAGGCGGCCUUCUAAGUCGAACGUGAAAUCCCCGGGCUCAACCCGGGAACUGCGUCCGAUACUGGAAGGCUUGAAUCCGGGAGAGGGAUGUGGAAUUCCAGGUGUAGCGGUGAAAUGCGUAGAUAUCUGGAGGAACACCGGUGGCGAAGGCGACAUCCUGGACCGGUAUUGACGCUGAGGCGCGAAAGCCAGGGGAGCAAGCGGG
rnacentral:rRNA from 1 species